GUCGAGGAUCAUUGGCAAUGCGCGCAAGCGUGACCAUGCGACGCUGUGUGGAGGAUGAAGGCCUUCGGGUCGUAAACUCCUGUCAUGGGGGAAAAAUCCUCCGGCCCGGAAUAUGGGUUGGAGUUGAUGGUACCCUAAGAGGAAGCGGCUGCUAACUCUGUGCCAGCAGCAGCGGUAAUACAGAGGCCGCAAGCGUUGUUCGGAUUUACUGGGCGUAAAGGGUGCGUAGGUGGUUCUGCGUGUCGGAUGUGAAAUCCCACGGCUCAACCGUGGAACGCCAUCUGAAACUGCAGAUCUCGAGUCCAGGAAGGGAGAGCGGAAUUCUUGGUGUAGCGGUGAAAUGCGUUGAUAUCAAGAGGAACGCCGGCGGCGAAGGCGGCUCUCUGGACUGGUACUGACACUGAGGCACGAAAGCUGGGGGAGCAAACAGGAUUAGAAACCCGGGUAGUCC
rnacentral:rRNA from 1 species